rnacentral:rRNA from 1 species
CCUACGGGAGGCAGCAGUGGGGAAUAUUGGACAAUGGGCGCAAGCCUGAUCCAGCCAUACCGCGUGGGUGAAGAAGGCCUUCGGGUUGUAAAGCCCUUUUGUUGGGAAAGAAAAGCAACUGGCUAAUACCCGGUUGUUCUGACGGUACCCAAAGAAUAAGCACCGGCUAANUUCGUGCCAGCAGCCGCGGUAAU